UGAUUGAAAUAAUAAUCAGUAAAACCUGCUCAAUGAAUUUAAAUAGCCGCAGAAAUCUGUGCUAAGGUAGCAUAAUCAAUUGCCUUUUAAUUAAAGGCUAGAAUGAAUGGUUUCACAUGUAAAUUAUUUUAUUAAAUUAAUUUCUUUGCCUUUACUUGUAAGUAAAAAGGCUUACAUUAUAAGAAGGACGACAAGACCCUAUCAAACUUUACAUUAUUGUUUCGCUGGGGUAGCGAAAAAAUAACAUCUUUAUUUUUUUUCAUUAUUUAUCUAAUUCAUUAACUUUAUCAAGUUACUGUAGGGAUAACAGCAUAAUAUUCUUUUAAAGUUCUUAUUUUUAAGGAAGAUUAUGACCUCGAUGUUGAAUUAUUUUAUCUAUUAUAGAGCAAAAUCUUAAAAAGAAAGUCUGUUCGACUUUUAAAUUUUU
rnacentral:rRNA from 1 species